GCCCCCAUAGUUUAAUGGAUAGAACGAGGGUUUCCUAAACCCUAAAUCCCAGUUCGAUUCUGGGUGGGAGCA
rnacentral:tRNA from 1 species